UGGGGAAUAUUGGACAAUGGGCGCAAGCCUGAUCCAGCCAUGCCGCGUGAGUGAUGAAGGCCUUAGGGUUGUAAAGCUCUUUCGCCGGUGAAGAUAAUGACGGUAACCGGAGAAGAAGCCCCGGCUAACUUCGUGCCAGCAGCCGCGGUAAUACGAAGGGGGCUAGCGUUGCUCGGAAUCACUGGGCGUAAAGCGCACGUAGGCGGAUCGUUAAGUCAGGGGUGAAAUCCUGGAGCUCAACUCCAGAACUGCCCUUGAUACUGGCGAUCUCGAGUUCGAGAGAGGUUGGUGGAACUCCGAGUGUAGAGGUGAAAUUCGUAGAUAUUCGGAAGAACACCAGUGGCGAAGGCGGCCAACUGGCUCGAUACUGACGCUGAGGUGCGAAAGCGUGGGGAGCAAACAGGAUUAGAUACCCCCGGUAGUCCACGCCGUAAACGAUGGAUGCUAGCCGUUGGGGGGUUUGACCUCUCAGUGGCGCAGCUAACGCCUUAAGCAUCCCGCCUGGGGAGUACGGUCGCAAGAUUAAAACUCAAAUGAAUUGACGGGGUCAUAGCUGUUUCCU
rnacentral:rRNA from 1 species